ensembl:lncRNA
AUAAUUGCAAACUCAAUGUUCGGUGUUUUGAAUGUAAGAGCGACAGGCACAACACCGCGCUUCACCCUGGACCCGCACCCUGGCAGCAGGAGGCUGGCCCUGCUUCUGAGCACGGCGGGGAGGGGGAUGAAGCUUCAGCGCAGUCUCAAGUCACCAAUAAAUGAUCCUGCGUCUGCGGAGGGAACCUCACAGACUGCUCCUGUUCGAAAAUAUGCCUUUGUUAAAGUGUUCCCAGCUGGCCACAGAGGAAAGGCCGUGAAACUGUGCGCAGUCAUGGACGAGCAGAGCAAUAGGUAACUGGUUCGCUCACAGUUUUGCGACAUGUUCAACGACCAAAGUCCAAGCGCUCCUUACACACUGAGAACAUGUGCUGGAGAGAAGCAAUCAGCAGGCAGAAGGGCCAGCGGCUAUGAAGUGGAGUCUCUGGAUGGAGCUAUUCGCAUCUCAUUGCCAAGCCUCAUAGAAUGUAACGACAUACUGAACAACAGAGAGGAGAUUCCGACCCCCGAUGUAGCUCUGCAUCAUGCUCAUCUAAGGUCAGUAGCACACCUCAUCCCAGACAUUGAUCCGCAAGCCCCUAUUAUGCUCCUCUUAGGACGGGACAUUAUCAGAGUGCAUGAAGUCCGCAAACAGGUGAAUGGCCCUCACAACCUGCCUUACGCACAGAGGUUAGACCUGGGGUGGGUCAUUGUUGGAAAUGUGUGCCUAGGUAAUGUUCACAGGCCGCUGACAAUUAGCACGUUCCACAUGAAUACCACAGAGCUGCAACGACCCACUCUCUGUGAAGCGUGCCCCAAUGUGUUUCAUGUGAUGGAGAGGUUUAGCGACACUCAGGUCACCAGUGAACCUACAGCGUAUCCUGAAGAACACCCUAUCUGUGAAGCCGACCACCUUGGAAGCACGGUAUUCAGGCGGACCAGGGAUGACAACCAGGUGGCUUCCUCCAUUCAAGAUGCAAAGUUCAUAGAGAUAAUGGAUGAGGUACUGCAAAAAGUAACCAACUCAAAUAACAGUUGGGUGGCACCAUUACCCUUUAAGAGCCCACGACCACGGCUCCCAGACAACAGGCCUCUGGCGCUGAAGCGUCUCAUGUCUCUCAAGGGUAACUUUGAGAAAAAGCCUGAGAUGAGAGACCACUUUCUCUCCUUCAUGGGCAGCAUGUUUCGGAACUGUCAUGCAGAGUUAGCCCCCCCUCUCAGCCCGGAUGAAGAAAGGUGGUACUUACCAAUGUUCGGCGUGUAUCAUCCGAAGAAACCAAAAAAAAUUACUGUGGUGUUCGAUUCCAGAUCCCAGUACGACGGUGUAUCACUCAACCACGUGCUGUUAACAGGACCUGACCCUAAUAACACACUACUGGGAGUGUUGAUUCGGUUCAGAAGAGAGGCCAUCACUGUCACAGCUGACAUAGAACAGAUGUUCUAUUGCUUCCGGGUAAGAGAAAAGGAUCGUGACUUCUUACGUUUUCUCUGGUUCGAAAAUAAUGACCUUUCCAAAGCCAUCGUGGAUUACCGCAUGAACGUCCACGUCUUUGGCAACAGCCUGUCACCUGCAGUGGCUAUUCAUGGUUUACACAAAUCUGUACAAGGCAACGAAUUCCACGUCGACCCAGAUGUGCAGCACUUUGUGUUACAUGACUUCUAUGUCGAUGAUGGGCUGAAGUCUCUUCCCGCAGUUCAAGCUGCUAUUAGCCUGUUAAAAAGGACACAGGAUGUGCUCUCCAAGUCGAAUCUGAGACUUCACAAGAUUGCGGCAAACAACCAGGAGGUCAUGGACGCCUUUCCAUCCAGUGACCAUGUGAGUGACCUCAAAGACCUUGACCUUGAUGCAGACGCGCUGCCGUUGCUGCGCAGCCUCGGGCUUGACUGGAAUCUCAAGACAGACUCUUUCCUUUUUAAUGUCUCCAGUGAGACCAAGCCCAACACACGGCGGGGUGUCUUGUCCACAAUCAACAGCCUCUACGACCCACUGGGAUUCGUUGCACCCGUCAUAGUCCAAGGCAAGGCUAUCCUGCGAGAGCUUACAGCGGAGAAAGGUGACUGGGACGUGCCCUUACCUCCUGCCAUGGAAGAUGCCUGGAUGUCAUGGAGAGCCUCUCUGUCUGAGCUCGCUGAGCUUUGCAUCCCUAGGCGUUACACAGAA